rnacentral:rRNA from 1 species
AGAGUUUGAUCCUGGCUCAGAAUGAACGCUGGCGGCGUGCUUAACACAUGCAAGUCGAACGAGAAAGGGAUUGCUUGCAAUCCUGAGUAGAGUGGCGCACGGGCGAGUAACACGUAGAUAAUCUACCUUUGAACCUGGGAUAACUAAUCGAAAGGUUAGCUAAUACCGGAUGAAGUUAAUCGGCAUAAGUUGAUUGAUGAAAGACUGCCUAUCCUUGGAAGCAGUUGUUUGGAGAUGAGUUUGCGGACCAUUAGCUAGUUGGUGGGGUAAAGGCCUACCAAGGCGAUGAUGGUUAGCUGGUCUGAGAGGAUGAUCAGCCACACUGGAACUGAAACACGGUCCAGACUCCUACGGGAGGCAGCAGUGAGGAAUUUUGCGCAAUGGGGGCAACCCUGACGCAGCAACGCCGCGUGAGUGAAGAAGGCCUUCGGGUCGUAAAACUCUGUCCUAAGGGAAGAAGAAGUGACGGUACCUUAGGAGGAAGCCCCGGCUAACUACGUGCCAGCAGCCGCGGUAAUACGUAGGGGGCAAGCGUUAUCCGGAAUCACUGGGCGUAAAGGGUGCGUAGGCGGCUGAUCAAGCCAGGGGUGAAAGGCUGUGGCUUAACCAUGGUAAGCCUUUGGAACUGGUCAGCUUGAGUGCAGGAGAGGAAAGCGGAAUUCCUAGUGUAGCGGUGAAAUGCGUAGAUAUUAGGAGGAACACCCGUGGCGAAGGCGGCUUUCUGGACUGUAACUGACGCUGAGGCACGAAAGCGUGGGGAGCAAACAGGAUUAGAUACCCUGGUAGUCC